rnacentral:rRNA from 1 species
ACAUGCAGUCGAGCGGACAGAAGGGAGCUUGCUCCCGGAUGUUAGCGGCGGACGGGUGAGUAACACGUGGGUAACCUGCCUGUAAGACUGGGAUAACUCCGGGAAACCGGAGCUAAUACCGGAUAGUUCCUUGAACCGCAUGGUUCAAGGAUGAAAGACGGUUUCGGCUGUCACUUACAGAUGGACCCGCGGCGCAUUAGCUAGUUGGUGGGGUAAUGGCUCACCAAGGCGACGAUGCGUAGCCGACCUGAGAGGGUGAUCGGCCACACUGGGACUGAGACACGGCCCAGACUCCUACGGGAGGCAGCAGUAGGGAAUCUUCCGCAAUGGACGAAAGUCUGACGGAGCAACGCCGCGUGAGUGAUGAAGGUUUUCGGAUCGUAAAGCUCUGUUGUUAGGGAAGAACAAGUGCGAGAGUAACUGCUCGCACCUUGACGGUACCUAACCAGAAAGCCACGGCUAACUACGUGCCAGCAGCCGCGGUAAUACGUAGGUGGCAAGCGUUGUCCGGAAUUAUUGGGCGUAAAGGGCUCGCAGGCGGUUUCUUAAGUCUGAUGUGAAAGCCCCCGGCUCAACCGGGGAGGGUCAUUGGAAACUGGGAAACUUGAGUGCAGAAGAGGAGAGUGGAAUUCCACGUGUAGCGGUGAAAUGCGUANAGAUGUGGAGGAACACCAGUGGCGAAGGCGACUCUCUGGUCUGUAACUGACGCUGAGGAGCGAAAGCGUGGGGAGCGAACAGGAUUA